rnacentral:rRNA from 1 species
UACAUGGGGUGCAAACGUUGCUCGGAAUCACUGGGCGUAAAGCGCGCGUAGGCGGCCCGGUAAGUCCGUUGUGAAAGUCAAAGGCUCAACCUUUGAACGCCGAUGGAUACUGCCGGGCUAGAGUCCGGAAGAGGCGAGUGGAAUUCCUGGUGUAGCGGUGGAAUGCGCAGAUAUCAGGAGGAACACCAAUAGCGAAGGCAGCUCGCUGGGACGGUACUGACGCUGAGGCGCGAAAGCGUGGGGAGCGAACAGG